rnacentral:SRP_RNA from 1 species
GCUGGGCCCGGUGGCGCGUGCCUGUAGUCCCAGCUACUCGGGAGGCUGAGGUGGGAGGAUCGCUUGAGCCCAGGAGUUCUGGGCUGUAGCGCGCUAUGCUGAUCAGUCCGCACUAAGUUCAGCAUCAAUAUGGUGACCUCCCAGGAGCAGGGGACCACCAGGUUGCCUAAGGAGGGGUGAACCGGCCCAGAUCAGAAACGGAGCAGGUCAAAACUCCCAUGCUGAUCAUAGUGGGAUCACGCCUGUGAAUAGCCACUGCACUCUAGCCUGGGCAACACAGAGAGACCCCGUGUCU